AGUAAAUAGAUACCCUGGUAGUCCAUGCCGUAAACGAUGAUUGCUAGGUGUGGGGGGUCUGACCCCUUCCGUGCCGGAGUUAAACACAAAUAAGCAAUCCACCUGGGGAGUACGGCCGCAAGGUUGAAACUCAAAGGAAUUGACGGGGGCCCGCACAAGCAGUGGAGUAUGUGGUUUAAUUCGAAGCAACGCGAAGAACCUUACCAGGUCUUGACAUCCACCGAAUCCUGUAGAGAUACGGGAGUGCCCUUCGGGGAACGGUGAGACAGGUGGUGCAUGGUUGUCGUCAGCUCGUGUCGUGAGAUGUUGGGUUAAGUCCCGCAACGAGCGCAACCCUUGUGAAUAGUUGCUACGAAAGAGCACUCUAUUCAGACCGCCGUUGACAAAACGGAGGAAGGUGGGGAUGACGUCAAAUCAUCAUGCCCCUUAUGACCUGGGCUACACACGUACUACAAUGGCCGUUAACAGAGGGAUGCAAUGCCGCGAGGUGGAGCGAACCCCUAAAAACGGUCUCAGUUCAGAUUGCAGGCUGAAACUCG
rnacentral:rRNA from 1 species